CUUUGGGGCAGAGCACAUGUAGAGAAGUGAGUGGAAUCGGCGUUAAAUGGUGGAAUAUGGCAGACUGCGAUUAUUUGUUUUUGUAUUUUUAUUUUUGAUUUGAAAAAAAAAAAAAAAAAAAAAAAAAGGCAUCUGGGAAGAGAAAGGCACCGCAAAAGUUCUUCAUUGGUGUACAAGCGGUCCUGGAUGAACUUGGUCACCAAAGUGACGAUGAUUUGUGCAGCGACGGAAGUUAUGACUCGGUGAGAGAAGCUGCUUUUCUUGAAGGAGAAGACCCUGAUUUUGAUGAGCCAAAUUUUGAACCAGACACAGAAACUCAAACCUCUAUGACGUCCACACCCACUGCAAAAUCUCCAUGUUUCAUGGGAAGGCAGAUGUGAGGAACACCUUAUUCUGCACAGGGUUCCAAGAGAUCUAUAGAUUAAUUUAUUGGGGAAGAAGACCCUGAUUUUGAUUUUUUGUGUUACAGCACAAAUUCAGCUGAUGAUGAGCCUCCAGCAGAAACAGAGUGGUCUCGCACAUCCAGGAGGCAGAAGCGAGGAAUGUCUCAUUCAACACUGAGAUAACAGGAUGUGCUGAGACAUGAUGGCAUGGCAUAGAGAAGGAGGAUGAGGAGCCUGUGCUGCCAGCUUUCCUUCAAAAGAGAAACCCAGGACCACAGCUUGCAAUGGACAGGGUGUAUUCACCAACUGAACUGAUCCAGCUCUUUUUUACAAACUCUGUUGUAGACUCCAUUGUUAAAAACACAAACGACUAUGAAACAAUGAGAGCCAAAGCUGGGAAGAAAUUCUCCUGGACCCCUCUGACAGAGUGUGACUUUCAUGCAUAUUUGGCCAUGAUUAUCUACAUGGGUCUCGUGAAAGCAAAAGGUGUUGAAGAGUACUGGGCGAAGAAAGAACUUUAUAACUUCCCUUACCCACAAUCUGUGAUGUCCAGGGCCAGAUUUCAAGCCAUAUCCUGGAAUCUCCAUCUCUGCGACUUGGAACAGGACGUGCAGAACACACGUAAAAAAUGAAUACUGGAGUACGACAAGCUGAACAAAAUCAAGCCACAGUAUCACGAUAUCCUGGUAGCAAGUACUACAUAUUUCCAGCCAGGCCAACAGGUGUCAGUGGAUGAGAGGAUGGUGGCUUCAAAAGCACACAUAGGCCUCAAGCAGUUCAUAAAGGACAAGCCCACUAAGUGGGGCUAUAAACUCUUUGUUCUUGCAGAUUCUUCCUGUGGGUACACCUUAAACUUUUUUGUUUACGAGGGUAAAAAUUCAGUUCCCACAGUCAAAGGCCUUAGCUAUGAUUCAGUGACGAGUCUGCUGGACACUCCGUUGUUAGGCAGAGGCUACCAAGUUUUUGUUGACAACAUUUAAACUAGCCAAGCCUUUUUGCAGACUUGCUGGGCAAAAACAGUGGCUUGUGGCACAAUACAUCCAAACUGACGAGGCUUUCCAAAGACCAAAGAAAAUGAUCUCGGCAAGAAGGCUGAAAGGGGAACCAUUCGUUGGCUCAGAGAUGGUGAGCUCCUCUUCGUCAAAUGGAUGGACACAAGGGAGGUCGUAAUGUGUUCAACAAUCCACAAAGCCUAUAGCGGUGAUACCAUCUCCAGGCGUGUGAAGAAUACCAAUGAUGAAUGGAACGUGCAUAGAGUCCCAGUUCUACGAGCCAUCAAGGAAUACAACCAGCACAUGUGAGGCGUCGAUCUUUCUGAUGCUCUCAAUGGUCAUUAUAACGUCUUGCACAAGACAAAAUGAUGGUACAAGACAUUUUCCUUCCAUUUCCUGGACAUUGCUGUAGUGAACAGCUUUAUUCUCCACCAGCACCUGGCAAAGGCUCAAAGCAAGACCCCUCUCAGCCAAAAAACAUUCAGAGAGGCGCUUGUGUCACAGUUGGUAAGUGCUGCCACACCACCCAGCACAUCUGGUGCCACAGAGUCAUCCUCUUCUCGACUCGUCCAGGAUAAGGAAUAUUAUCCAGUAUUUCUGGAAGCAGAUGGCACAAGUGGCAGAAAAGUGUGUGCUCUGUGCAAGCUCUCAGGAAAUAAAGUGAAAACUCCUAUGUUCUGCACAAAAUGCCAGGUGCCUCUGUGCUGUGUGCCAAAGAGGAACUGCUUCAGGAAGUGGCACAAUGAAGGACACAAACAUAAUUGAACUUAAAAUGAACUGAAAGUUCUUGGUGAUUUAUUCACAUUGUUUUCAGAAUUCCCAAAUGUUCUUAAAUGCUGACCAUGUAUUUACAAGUUAUUUUUUGUGUCUUGUGUCAGCAGGUGGGAGUGGUCAUUUAUUUGUUUGCAUUUCUGCACAUGUUUCUCUCCUAUUUAGCUCUUUACAGUCUAUAUUUGCACUUUAUGGUACAAGUUGACUAUAACUUAUGUUGUUAUACAACAAUAAAAAUGGUUUUAUGUAAAACAC